GGUUGUAUAGUGUAGCGGGUUAGUAUAGUCGUUAUCUCAUAUAUCUACACAUACUAAUGUUAACAGUUAGCACGUGGGUUUUUGAGGAGAGAGCAAUUCUCUAAUGCUUAUUAUACCUGAAUCCUGGGUUCGAGCCCCAGUACGACCU